CCUACGGGCGGCAGCAGUGGGGAAUAUUGCGCAAUGGGCGGAACCCUGAUCCAGCGACGCCGCGUGAGUGAAGAAGUAUUUCGGUAUGUAAAGCUCUAUCAUCAGGGAAGAAAAUGACGGUACCUGACUAAGAAGCCCCGGCGAACUACGGGCCAGCAGCCGCGGUAAUACGUAGGGGGGAAGCGUUAUCCGGAUUUGCUGGGUGUAAAGGGAGCGUAGACGGCAGAGCAAGUCUGAAGUGGAAGCCCGCGGCCCAACCGCGGGACUGCUUUGGAAACUGCCCGGCUAGAGUGCUGGAGAGGUAAGCGGAAUUCCGAGUGUAGCGGUGAAAUGCGUAGAUAUUAGGAGGAACACCAGUGGCGAAGGCGGAUUACUGGACAGUAACUGACGUUGAGGCUCGAAAGCGUGGGGAGCAAACAGGAUUAGAUACCCUAGUAGUC
rnacentral:rRNA from 1 species